rnacentral:rRNA from 1 species
GUGGGGAAUUUUGGACAAUGGGCGAAAGCCUGAUCCAGCAAUGCCGCGUGUGUGAAGAAGGCCUUCGGGUUGUAAAGCACUUUUGUCCGGAAAGAAAUCCUUUGGGUUAAUACCUCGGAGGGAUGACGGUACCGGAAGAAUAAGGACCGGCUAACUACGUGCCAGCAGCCGCGGUAAUACGUAGGGUCCGAGCGUUAAUCGGAAUUACUGGGCGUAAAGCGUGCGCAGGCGGUUUUGUAAGACAGAUGUGAAAUCCCCGGGCUUAACCUGUGAAGUGCAUUUGUGACUGCAAGGCUAGAGUGUGUCAGAGGGGGGUAGAAUUCCACGUGUAGCAGUGAAAUGCGUAGAGAUGUGGAGGAAUACCGAUGGCGAAGGCAGCCCCCUGGGAUAACACUGACGCUCAUGCACGAAAGCGUGGGGAGCAAACAGGAUUAGAAACCCCAGUAGUCC